GGAUAGCUCAGUCGGUAGAGCAUGAGACUCUUAAUCUCAGGGCUGUGGGUUCGAGCCCUACGUUGGACA